ensembl:lncRNA
AUGUAUUAGACAUCAGAACUUUUCUUUGUUACUUUCCAGUUUUAAAUGUGAGUUUUGGUCCUUCACUUUCUGGUGCAGUUUCUAGCUCUGGCUUUAUAUCUGGCUGGUCAGGAGUGAGACAGAGAGACCGCUGGCCCGUUUGUCUGAGAUUUUGUUUAAUGCAAUGGAUUGGUGGAGCAGUGCCGCAGCAGUGCGUGAGUAGAAUAUCAGAGAGAGAAGGAGAGGCAUGGAAUUUGGAGGGGUAAGACAUGGUGCCUUCUUAACUGAGUCUGAAGACAUAUGUUUAUCACCGACACGCUGCACAAUGUACACGACUCACCCUGCCUCCCACCACCACGCUGGGAGUCGAGUAGAGUAGAGUAAGAGGUGCUGGAGGUAUUGCGUACAGUCAGCGCUUCGGAGGAAAUGCCACAGCAUGUUCAUAUGGCUUCUCUCCGUCCCCUGGGAAACGGCACAUACCCGCCGGGCAUUCAAGUCUAUUAGGGUGUCAGCUUCAGUCUGCUGAGUAGAACCGGCAUCUUAAAGUGUGAAAGCUGGAGAUGAUGGGUGGGUUUUAAAGUGCUGUGUUUGGCCUUCUGCUAAGAUCAGCGCUCAAAAAACAAAAAACUGCCACCUCCUUCUACCACUGCUGCUGGUGUUUUUGUUGUUGUUUUUGUAGUUUGGUAUAUUUAGGUUUGUUGCUCUGAUUUAUGAACGUCUACAUAGCUAAGCGCUAUAUUUGCAGACUGCUGAUCCUUAGAAGAUGUGCCACAAUAAGACCCUCUAUUCUUAGCCGGCACACAUUGAUGCUCUUCGCUGUCACCCUGGGCCCACUUGUUUUUCAAUUAAAAAAUCUAAUUUCACUAGAAUAUGUUGCUAGAAAGAUAUCAGUUAAAACAAAAGAAAGAAAACACUGGCAAAUGGCAAAAACAAAUGGCAAAUCCACCACGAAACAAUUUCGCCCCAGCAAACAUUGGCAUGGGGCCAACGAGACUCUUUCAGAAGCUGGACUGAACUACAGAUUAGUAUUUAUUUUUGGUGCAGAGAAGUCUUCCAAGAAGUAUGUGUGUGUGUUUGGGAGGUGUAUGUGUGCGAGGUUGGGGGGGGUUUGGUUGGGCGGGCGGGUGGUCGGGCGGUCUGGGAGAGGGGAGCGUGAGGACUGCCGACAAGUUGUUACCUGGGUUGCUCCUCUACAGCUGGGGGAGAGAGAGAGGCAAGAGGAGGAGACGAGGUUAAGGGGUGACGGCUGCGAGAAAAUUGUGAUCGGCUUCAUACUCAUCCUCAUCCUCACACCAGGAUGAUAUGUAAAUCUAACAGCCUCCAUGUCAGACACGGACUUCGGGUCACUGAGUUUAGGCUCCGCGAGUUCAAGAAAACACUUCAACAAUGGCGUAGCAAAUGGCUGUUACAUUAUCAGACCCCAAGGAGGCUUUUCUGCGUAAACCUGCUGACCCUGUGCAGGCACGACAUGCCCGUCUGACUGUAAUAAACCCCCCGUAGGGGCUGGAUGUGGGGGCCCA